GGUCACAAUGCUGCUGCCUAGUCUAAAUACACAGAUACUGUGUCUUAUGUGCCACGAUGAAUAUUUUCUCCAUUAAAAUACGUGACCACCACAAAAGUGAGCUCUAACCCAGAAGGAAUGCAGGCCUGAAUUAGGAAACCUUUGAACAAAACCUUCAGGCUGAAAUGAGCAUUCAUCGUAGGGUGGAUGUGAGGCCAAAUCCAAGAUACAAGAUGGAAGAAAUCUUGUUCCAGAAUGGAGGAGGGACAAAGGGAGUGGAAAAUAACUUGAGUAACUAAAUCCAAUUCCUUUGCAAAUGUGGGGUCUCUAAGCUCUUACACUUGGCUUCAGUCAAGCCAAGGAGAGGUAGCCCCAGCUCUGUUUCAAUACAGUCCUGUCUCUGAAUGAGUCACACAAAUAAUGAUGCUUGGUUAAAAAAGAGACUUCCCUAUUUUUCCCCAGCAUGGAAAAGAUGGUGCCAUCAUCUUGGGAGUUCAGGAAGUUUCUGAAUUCAAGGAACAACAAAAGUUUCCUUGAUAGUGUACAGCAGCAAUCUCGAACGUGGUGACAGUAACUCAAAGCAGCCAUAGAAAACAAGUAGAAGUGAAGAACUGUCCCAUGGAACCCCAAUGUUGAGAUCCUAAGCUGGGCCUGGUGCUGCACAGUUCACAGUGCUGACAAAAGCAGGAAGUUGGAGGGAUGGAUUUCAAAGACCUGCCAGGAGCACACUGCCCUGGGAUACCGGGAGCAGGCGAAGGGGAGAGAGAGGGUUUAGGCUUCUAGCACUCGCACUGGUAGUGAGAAACUAUUGGCUUUGUUGUGAUUCGUGAAAAACGUACCUAUAACUUUCUCUAACUAGGCUGGGGGUUGGGGAAACGAGCCUUAGAUGCACUAUGCAUAAAUAUUAUAUUUUCAUCACACAUGCAUAUACUGCAAAAUCUUUGACAACCAUGGUUUUGAGAAUUCACAUAUGAAAAAUCCAAACUUUUAAUAUAUAAUGAUUCAGGGGUGUGUUCUUAAGUAAGUGAAUACAACGAUAUUGCCCCUCCCUCUUCUCUCCCCAGUAUACCACAUGGUGGACAUGAGUGCCAGGGCAGAUAAAAGAGAAUCUAUUUCAAUGAUCAGAGGCCUAGGGUCCAAAAUACUGUGUUCUUAAACACUAUAUUCAUGUAUUAAAAAAUAUUGAAUUUUGUGAAAGAAGAGAAAAUGGGAUACAAAAAAAAAUUACUAUUAUCCAAAAUUAAAUCCAUCAUUAAGAGACAAAACCUGCCACCAGUGAACAUGAUCAGUCUGGUUCAAAUAAGAGAUUGAUUACUAAUAAUUAAAAAUAUAUCUCCAUAAUAGAUUUUCACUUUGGUUUCUCUGAAGCAUUAGUUUUGUUUCCAAUCUGAAUAUUUCAUUAUGACAUCUUACACCAGGGCUUCCCUGAUUCUAUUCCUUAGGAUUUAUUCUUUGUCAUAUAGGCUUUAGAAACUAGAACCUUAGUGAAACUGAGGUCCCUUUGAUCUUUCAUAGUCCUCACCUUACCUUUUCUUUCCACCUUGGGUUUCACCAUCUGAGUAGUUUCAGACAACCCACCAAUCAACCAGAAACAAGUUCAAAUAUAAUUGUGACAAAUGCAAGGUUUGGAAACCCUCCUGGUAAUUGACAUUGAAAGAGACUUAAAGCUUCUUACAGAAUCAAGACUAUUGUAAUGCAGCAUGUAUUGGAAUACCAACUCCAUAACUGUCCACUUUAAUUCAGAAUUGCGGAGUCCACUGCACAUUCUGAAUUACUUUUAAUACAAAUAUGUUUUUACCUACUAUGACAAAACUUACUUGAUAAUAAGUUCUCCAGCUUGCACAAUAUGGUGAAGAAAUCCCAGAACUUGCUCAACAGUUUUCAACUCAUCUGGAUAAAACAUAACUUUCUGCAUUUCAGCAUGUGACCUCUAUAAAAGGAAAUGGUGCUUUAUCUCUAGUGUGACUGCUGCAUGAACAUUCUCCUGCACCCAGGUGCUUGUUCAUAAAAAGUGAAACACCCAGAAUUCUUCCAGUAAAGUAUCUGUCUUGUUUGAAGCCUGUCUGAGAAGGUGCAUCACUAGGAAUGCUUCACAGGCUUUGUUAUGAUACAAUUGCAUUUUUAACACACCCCUGUGCGUAAAGGUCUCUGCUUCAUUGAGUGUCUGGGCUCCAUACUGGGACAGGUCAACAACAUCCCUGAAGUCCUGAACCAGCCAGUCUCAGAAAAUGGGCCAGCUCCUUACUACUCCCACACAAUGUAAGAGCUUGUUUCCAAAGAGCAGAGAAAAUGGACUAAGAUCCACAGGAGGGAUGACAGAUGGAUUCUGUCGCAUUGCCAGAGACAUGAAAUUGCAGAUGACCCCUAAAAAUCUACAUCCUCUAUAAAUCCAUCUAGAUUGAUCAGAAAGAGAUUAAUGAUUUUUACUGGACCCAAUUUAUCUCAACCUCGAAGUUUAAGCUCUACUCGUCUUAUUCUUCAACCCCCAGCAAAAAAUUUGCAAUUGACUUCUUUCCAACUUGCAGAUGACCAGAAUAUCCUGUGAAUAAUUCUAUUGCCCCUGGAUGCAUCUGUGCAACAUUCUUAUUCUGUUUUAUACAGUAGUCCCCUUAUCCACAGCUUCUCUGUCCAUGGUUUCAGCUACCUGUGGUAGACUGUGAUCUGAAAAUACUAAAUAAAAAUGUUCAGAAAGGAAUAAUUUAUAAGUUU